CAAUUUUCACGGUAUAUAUUUGGCCAUUUUAGCUUCGUAGUGAAUAAUAACAGAAAAGGAAGUUUCUGUUCAAGAUCCUCACUCCAGCACACUCAGCCAGGCAUACACACACAUACGCACAUCUUAUUUUCACUGCUCUACACAGGGACCUGAGAAUCCUUAAUUUUAAAGUUGGGAAAAACGUGAAAGGAUUCCUUAAC
rnacentral:lncRNA from 1 species